rnacentral:rRNA from 1 species
UAGGGAAUCUUCGGCAAUGGACGAAAGUCUGACCGAGCAACGCCGCGUGAGUGAAGAAGGUUUUCGGAUCGUAAAACUCUGUUGGUAGAGAAGAACGUUGGUGAGAGUGGAAAGCUCAUCAAGUGACGGUAACUACCCAGAAAGGGACGGCUAACUACGUGCCAGUAGC